ACACAGAUGGACGAUUAGCUAUUCGCUGAUCAGGUUCUCUUUUCAGUUUCUUUCGUUUUGCGGAUUUUUGGGCCACAGGCCUGAUCUAGUAACCACGUGCAAAGUUCCUGUCAGUAUCUGUUGUUGCUGGUGGGCCUUCUGGUGGGGGUCCGGGGCAUUUCGCCAACUGGGGAGCUGUUGGCAAACGUCCCCCGUGGUGGUGGUGGUGGGUUUCUGAGUCCCCUUCCCUUAGGGUUCGCUUGCUGCUGUCUAGGUGACUUGUUUGCCCUGGUGGUCGGGCCCUCUCCCCGGGGAGAGGGGGUCCUGACUGCCCUGAACGUCUCAGGUGGCAGUAGCAAUGCACGGCCAGCUGGCCCGCUGACCCGCUGGCUCUACUCUUCACGAGUCUGGAGCCCACUGUAACAACUAUACACACGCACACACGCACACACGCACACACGCACACACGCACACACGCACACACGCACACACGCACACACGCACACACGCACACACGCACACACGCACACACGCACACACGCACACACGCACACACGCACACACGCACACACGCACACACGCACACACGCACACCCUACUAAACCGACCUUGUGCAUGGGCUUGAAAAAUGUGCGACGUAGGCUAAGUGCUUUAAUAUAAUACAUAGCUAUAUAGACAUCUUUCUGAUGAUUGUUAAGCAGCCGCAGCUCAAGCCGGAAAAAAAGCGUUAGCGAUCCAGCAGCAGGCAAAGGCAAGCUCAGGGGGGAACCUGCCGUGAGGUGCUAUUUAGGCAUUUUGAAGCAAGUGAUAAUUCAAAUCAAAUAAAUAUAUUUGAAUAAACAUGUCUUAGUGAUGCUGGAGUCUUCCUACUUGCAAAGAAAAUGCAACGCGCACUUAUUCGUGCAUUUUAUAUCGGUCUGCAGUCUCUCCCGCAACAGACGGCAGUAUCGACGGCUGUCUGGUGAAUGCGCACAAACAACAAAUUCAUU
rnacentral:lncRNA from 1 species